ensembl:lncRNA
CCGUCCACCGAAAAUGCUGGGGAACCACAACAGCAAAAGACUAGCUUUCCAAGGCUGGCACUGGCCGCCUCUGCCGGCAACGGGGGCGGGGGGGGGGGCGGUUCUGCGUGGGGGUGCGCAGCGUCCAGUUACAUUCCUGACCCACUUUCGCAUUCCCUCCCUCCCCCUCCUCCUCCCCCUCUUUCUCCUCCUCCUGCCGGGCGGGCCGAGAGGGCACCCGCGCUCCGCAGAGACACCCGCGAGCCCUCCCUAAGCCGCCGCGGGCGGGGUGCACCAGGCGUCGGGCUCUGCGGGGGACCCGGAGGGAGGGAGGGAGCCCGCCCCCACCCCCGGCUUCCCCUGCGUGGCCCCUCCCUGGUCACAUGGGCUCGCGAGCACCUGUUGGCGACUUCGGCUCCUAGCGGAACCCCUCCCGCCGCCCAGACGAAGCCCCCUGCGGGAGAAGAUGGGAACGCUUCCCCGUGCACGUUCCGCAAACCCCGCGGGGGUGGGCGAGGGCGCCGGGGCCGGUGGGCGACGCCUGCCCGGUUGCUCAGCUUUGCAAAGUGCAAGAAGCACCACGGCAGCGCGGCGACUGGGUGGAGGGGAGCCUACCCCUCCCCCCCUCCUCCCAACCCCCGCCGAGCGGGGAGGUGGGGUGCGUCCGUCCCCAGCCCGACUCUGCUGGAAACCUGGGCUCCUCGCGGGCGCCGGGAGGGGAUGCUGAAGAGUCCGGGCCGGGGCCGCCGGGGCGAGGGCAGGGGCUCGGGGGGCAAUGAAGAUUGUAAAUGAAAUAAGAUGCGGGACACCAAAACCAGGAAGUAGGUAUGUGAGAGUGCCAUGCUUUUUAUCUCUACAUUUAUGUGUGUGUGUGGGGGGUGGAUUCUCGUCAUAAUGUUGAAAUACCUCCUUUUUGGAAGUUUCAGAAAGUUAUUUCUCCUACCUGUUGAGUCAAGGUCAGGGAGAAGUGUAAUCAGUAAUUGCUGACAUUUGCAUAGGCUAGCACCUUUAACAUUUACAGACUGUAUUCACACCAACACAGACCUUUCCUCACUCUCCUGGGUUAGUUCAGGUCUGUGAGGAAGGCAAAGAAUCUCAGUUGUGUUGUCCACAGACUAAUGCCUGAAGCCCUGUCUGAAAAUUAAACUCUCUUAGCGCUUUUAAAUGGCAGUAAAAAUCAGAAGGAUUUCCAGGAAUACUGAAGGCAGUACAUUCUGAGCUUGGUCCUGUCUUGCAGGAUUUCCCCGCUUCAUUUUAGAUGCACAGAGGGGAUGUGCUUCGGUUUAUCUCAGUUAGCUAACAUUCUUACUACACAAUAUUAUGCCAAUCCCAAAGCCACAUUAUCAUAGAAUCUAUAAUAGCAUUAAGGGCCCCUUUGUGGCUAAGAAGAGUUGGUGUGUUACUGCUUUUAUUAUAAGAUUUAUAGAGCUGGUUUAUAAUACUGUAUUCUUAAUUGUAUGGGUAAUAUAUUUAAAACACAUGUGGUAGCUACAGUUCUGGUUCUAUUUUUAAGUGACUGAGUAUUUAUCCCCCCCCCUCUUUCUAGUCAUAUAAGGUAUACUUGCAUCUGGAAACUAUCAAAACAUCGCAAAGACAACAGUGCAUGUGGUUAAUUAAAGGGAUAGACACCAUGGAGGUUAUAAGCAAGGUCAUUAUCAUUCAGUAAAUAUUUUAUUGGUAAUUGUUUGGUAGGGAGCUGGAAAACUAUAGCACGGGUGGGAUUUCCAAGCACACAGAAAUGAGAAGCAUAGUUUCCAAAUGAGAGUAUCUUCAUACAAUCAGAUGUUUAGGUGAAAGUAGUUUUCUCUCACCUUGUUUAAACUGCAGAAAACGCUUUCAGGAUGUGUCGAGCAUUCCUUCCUGCCGUCACAUCAUGUUUGUGCUUUAAGUCAGUGGCUCCCAGCUGGUGGCUGAAUACACCCUCAGGACACCAGGUAAGUGGUCAGAGACGCUUUAUGUGCAUCACUCUGUAGACUGAAUAAUAAAAUGACUGGCCUAGAAAUGUACUUGGCCCAAAUGUACGUGUUUGUCGUUAACGAAUAAACUACAGAUGCAUUGGAAAGCUGUUCUGAAUUUAUACUCUCACUCUCUUCUAUGUAUCUCUUAAAUUGAUGAGUACAAAAAAUAUAGGUACCAUCUUACCCACGGAGGGAGCCAAAAACAAAAGAGAACCAGGUCUGUAGGGGACAUGAGAAGCUCUUCUUCAUACGUUUGGUAAAGCAAAUUCUCUCUCUCUCUUUAUUCUAGGAGACACAUAAUAAUUUCUUUGUUUCACUAUAUAUUAUAUGAUGCCCAAGAUGAAAUGGUGCCAGGGAUAAUUGGAUGCCUUCAUGGAUUUGUUUUAUCAUUUGGCUCUUGGAACCAGAAGUUCUAGGCAUACCUUCUCUGCCACUUUUUUAUACUUAAGGUAUUCACUUCUAUGCUCCAAGCCAAGAAGAGUUUUUCCAAUCCAUGCACACUGUGAGACCUGAGAUACCCAGGAUUGAGAUCUCUGCGGGAACUUCUAACAGUAAUGGACACUUACUAGUGGGUGCAUCUUGUCAGAAAUGCAAAUGUUGUGCACAAUGCCUCCAAAGGCUCUUCAGACAGAAUAAAUUUUCAUUCCCUAUGUUGCUCUACUUGCUUUCUAUACGCUGUCUUCUGCGGGGUAUUUUUUUAAGGGCCUUUAGUCUUGAAUUAUUACAGCGAGCAAGCUAGCAGAUG